rnacentral:rRNA from 1 species
UACGGGGGGAGCAAGCGUUGUUCGGAUUUACUGGGCGUAAGGGGCGCGUAGGCGGCAAUUCAAGUCAGCUGUGAAAUCUCCGGGCUUAACUCGGAACGGUCAGCUGAUACUGCUUUGCUAGAGUGCAGAAGGGGCAAUCGGAAUUCUUGGUGUAGCGGUGAAAUGCGUAGAUAUCAAGAGGAACACCUGAGGUGAAGACGGGUUGCUGGGCUGACACUGACGCUGAGGCGCGAAAGCUAGGGUAGCAAACGGG